rnacentral:rRNA from 1 species
GGGGAAUAUUGCACAAUGGGGGAAACCCUGAUGCAGCGACGCCGCGUGGAGGAAGAAGGUCUUCGGAUUGUAAACUCCUGUUGUUGAGGAAGAUAAUGACGGUACUCAACAAGGAAGUGACGGCUAACUACGUGCCAGCAGCCGCGGUAAAACGUAGGUCACAAGCGUUGUCCGGAAUUACUGGGUGUAAAGGGAGCGCAGGCGGGAAGACAAGUUGGAAGUGAAAUCUAUGGGCUCAACCCAUAAACUGCUUUCAAAACUGUUUUUCUUGAGUAGUGCAGAGGUAGGCGGAAUUCCCGGUGUAGCGGUGGAAUGCGUAGAUAUCGGGAGGAACACCAGUGGCGAAGGCGGCCUACUGGGCACCAACUGACGCUGAGGCUCGAAAGUGUGGGUAGCAAACAGGAUUAGAUACCCUGGUAGUCCACACCGUAAACGAUGAUUACUAGGUGUUGGAGGAUUGACCCCUUCAGUGCCGCAGUUAACACAAUAAGUAAUCCACCUGGGGAGUACGACCGCAAGGUUGAAACUCAAAGGAAUUGACGGGGGCCCGCACAAGCAGUGGAGUAUGUGGUUUAAUUCGACGCAACGCGAAGAACCUUACCAAGUCUUGACAUCCGUUGACCGCUGUAGAAAUACAGUUUUCCUUCGGGACAGCGAGACAGGUGGUGCAUGGUUGUCGUCAGCUCGUGUCGUGAGAUGUUGGGUUAAGUCCCGCAACGAGCGCAACCCUUAUGGUCAGUUACUACGCAAGAGGACUCUGGCCAGACUGCCGUUGACAAAACGGAGGAAGGUGGGGAUGACGUCAAAUCAUCAUGCCCUUUAUGACUUGGGCUACACACGUACUACAAUGGCGUUAAACAAAGAGAAGCAAGACCGCGAGGUGGAGCAAAACUCAGAAACAACGUCCCAGUUCGGACUGCAGGCUGCAACUCGCCUGCACGAAGUCGGAAUUGCUAGUAAUCGUGGAUCAGCAUGCCACGGUGAAUACGUUCCCG